rnacentral:rRNA from 1 species
GCUUACCAUGCAAGUCGAGCGGAGAUGAGGUGCUUGCACCUUAUCUUAGCGGCGGACGGGUGAGUAAUGCUUAGGAAUCUGCCUAUUAGUGGGGGACAACAUUUCGAAAGGAAUGCUAAUACCGCAUACGCCCUACGGGGGAAAGCAGGGGAUCUUCGGACCUUGCGCUAAUAGAUGAGCCUAAGUCGGAUUAGCUAGUUGGUGGGGUAAAGGCCUACCAAGGCGACGAUCUGUAGCGGGUCUGAGAGGAUGAUCCGCCACACUGGGACUGAGACACGGCCCAGACUCCUACGGGAGGCAGCAGUGGGGAAUAUUGGACAAUGGGGGGAACCCUGAUCCAGCCAUGCCGCGUGUGUGAAGAAGGCCUUUUGGUUGUAAAGCACUUUAAGCGAGGAGGAGGAGCUCUAGAUUAAUACUCUAGAUGCUUGGACGUUACUCGCAGAAUAAGCACCGGCUAACUCUGUGCCAGCAGCCGCGGUAAUACAGAGGGUGCAAGCGUUAAUCGGAUUUACUGGGCGUAAAGCGUGCGUAGGUGGUCUUUUAAGUCGGAUGUGAAAUCCCUGAGCUUAACUUAGGAAUUGCAUUCGAUACUGGGAGACUAGAGUAUGGGAGAGGAUGGUAGAAUUCCAGGUGUAGCGGUGAAAUGCGUAGAGAUCUGGAGGAAUACCGAUGGCGAAGGCAGCCAUCUGGCCUAAUACUGACACUGAGGUACGAAAGCAUGGGGAGCAAACAGGAUUAGAUACCCUGGUAGUCCAUGCCGUAAACGAUGUCUACUAGCCGUUGGGGCCUUUGAGGCUUUAGUGGCGCAGCUAACGCGAUAAGUAGACCGCCUGGGGAGUACGGUC